rnacentral:lncRNA from 1 species
ACAACUUUUAGUAAAAAACAAUGGAAACACAAGAGCACGCACGCACUUACGUGUUUUCGGCAGGUGCCAUUGAAUCCUGUGAAGCGGUAAUCCGAUGCGGUGGAGAGGCCAUUCCCUGUGUCGACGAGGUAUUCAAAUGCGUUCUGGGGAAACCCGCUGUGGCAGCCAUCGGUGCCGUAGCUCCGGGAGCAAUCCAGCAGCUGCUGCGCCGACAGCUCCACCAACACUCCAGUCGCAAUCUUGUUGAUUCCCUCGAUGGCUUCUGCCGCCGCAAAAGCCCAGCUACCAUCUGUAUCGUGAUAUACCACUAAAGUGCGAAAAAAGGAUUAAAGAUUUAUACUCUGGCAUCCUUUGCGAUCUUUCACAGGUGUGACGGCCCCCAAACGUCUCCAGUCCAUGGACUUGGGGGGACCAGAGCCAACGUCGCCAAACAUUCUGAUGCCUGCAUUACCAUUCGGAUUAGUAUCACUUGCGGCAUUUGGAUCUGCAGCAAGCAGUAAUAGGAGGAUGGAAAUCGAGACCAAGGGAUGCAGAGACAUUCUUAGGGAGUUUCUUAUCUCGAGAGAACGAAGGGUUAUAUAGCAGGUCACAACACCCCACGAGACUCAUGCGGGUGAACACACUGUCCAUCACACUAACACAUUGAUAGAGACUUGGUUGACUUGAACAGAUUUACUACUGAGAAUGAAGUCAAGGAUAGACAACGCACGAGGCUGGCUUAGAAAUGGCAUGGCAAGUAAACAAUUGGGAACCUCUGAAGUGCUUGAAUGAAUAUUGGCGGCUCGUCCAAUCCACAGCUUGAAUAUUUCGCCAACUCGCAUCUCUGGAAUAUCAUUUAUCAGAACUCCGCGUUUGCAGCCUCGCAAUAGAGAAGACAUCGAAUCUUACACGAAAGCGCUGAGAUUUCAACCCAGCCGUACGGAACAUGGUCAAAUGUGUGAUCACCUCCACCUCCAUCUGAAUGGAAACACCGAGUAAGAACCAAAACAAGAAAACUCUCUCGAGAACCUUAAAGUCGUAGUUGUGAAUCUGGAUCCAGCGUGUAUGAAAAAUGAAAAACUUGGGCUGAAUCCGCCCAUGAGCUGGAAGACGAGCUCCAGGGGCAGCGGUGCUGGCGGCUGUGCAUGUGCCAAUCCCGAGAUAUGGAUCCCAAAUUGUCCUCGUAACCCACCCUGUUCUUCCACGAUGAUCUCAGUAGCUUUACAAUCGCCAUGGCGGGAUUGAUCACUGUCACCCGGAUAUCGAUAUGGCCUUUGGAAAAGUUACCUUGGCUAAUAUCCAUACCUAUUACUAAAAGUUCCAAAAGGGAUGAGGGCGAGGGAGGUCUUGGCUGUGGUGAUAGAGAAUCAGGAGCUGGACACGGAUUUCUGCAGUGCGCUUGGCAAACUCUACUUAGAAUUCGAGGAGCUCUUCCCGGACGAGGUAAUCAACGUGAUUUUGGAUAGGGCAAUGCCACUGCAUGCAUGGGGAUUCCACAAGGUGACCAACAAGAGAUGUCACAGCAGGAUGGUGCAGAGGGUUCUUGAUGGCGGUUUUAUGAUGCUGGCUCUAGACAUGCUGGACGAAACUUGCGACCAGGAGACGUUUACAAGAGUUCUUGCGCACCCGCACCAAUAUAAUCACAGGGAAUACACUGGAGUGCUGAAGCACAAGGUGUCCUCUGCCAUGGAAAAGAUGAGGAAACUGAAUCUGAGGAGGGAGAUUCUGGUGUUUGAGAAUCUGGUCCAUUUGCACUUUGCUCCUGAGGAUUUGGAGAGGCUGUUUCGAGAGAUGAUCAAUGAGCAUCCUUGUAUAACAGCAGAGCUAAGUGUCUACCAGAAAGUUUUCGAUUCCUCGCACAAGCUAAGUUUCAAACACUUGGUUGCAAAGGAGGCCAGGGCCAAGGGCGUCAAGCUGGUGGUAAGCUCAAACCUCUUAGAAAGUAGCAGUGGUUAUAGUGAUGAUGAUUGGAGGAAGAUAAUGGGUCUAGUACUUGAGAUUGUCGAGGAGCCAGUGCAAGCUUAUCAGAUCAUGCUGAACAAAUCCCAGGACGCUGAUGUUGUCACGUCUAUCAUCAGAGAAGCCAUCUGCAUGGGAAUGGCACUGGAUGUUACACCCAAGCUGGUCAAGAAGCAUUUGUAUUUUGAUCUCCAGGAAAGGCUGGGGAAGCAUUUUCUCGUCACAAACUUAAAGAAGGGGCUGAUUAAGCUAAACGACGAGGCACUAGCCAAGAGUUUAGACGAUCACAACUCCAGUGCCGGUGUGGUGUUUGAGCUCGCAACAAGAGCAACAAGUCAGGGCUUCCCUCGGGUUUUGGAGGAGAUUCUUUGCACCGAGAAGAAUCCCGAAGUUGCUCGUUUGAUGUUCCAGUUCGAGGCCUUCUGUAACCUGGUGGAGCCAAAUGAAAAGACAUGCAAGCUUCUGGCUAAUAAACUCUUGAAAAAGGAUAUGGUAAUUGAAGCCCAGUUUGUGAUAGAUACGUGCUGCAGAACUCACCCCAAAUCGCUGAUUGAGAAAAACUUUGGUGAUGAGGAGAAUGAGGAAAACUUUGGUGAUGAGGAGAGUGACUAGCUUUUAAACAUGUUUAAAAGAUAUGACAGAAAAAUACAUACAUGUUUAAGGAGAGCAUCCAUAUGCAGUACAUUUAUUUGUUCCACCAGGGGCCGGGACGAAACAAAGCUGCAGCUAAUCCUCUUGUAGCACGGAACUGGGGGUGAUGGCGGAGAGAGAUAGUCGAGGAGAGGGCGGCGGUGGAGAUGGCGGUGGUGGUGGAGACGAUCAUGCAGAUGGUUCUCUGAUGGGAAGUAGACAAUGGCGUUCACCCUGCAUCGAACCAGUGGGAGGCAAUGGGCUCCAUGCUGCAACCUCAUGUAUUCGCUGUUGUUGGAUCUAUAGCCGACGAUGAGCACUGCUAGAUAUAGACUUGCCUGGUCGUCUUUGCACGGGCCUUGCAUUUUUAGGGUCUCCUUCACAAAAGAAGAAAAGAAUGAUUUUUCUCAUACCCCUUUGUUAGUUAAAUUCAUCUGUUACGGCCUGAGGAUGUCCAUGUCAUUGCUGGAGCUGUAGAUAUUGUCAUAGUUGUACCAAUUCCAAAAGAGAUGCUGACAUGCAAAGUUUAAAACCAUGGAAGUUUUCUCUGCAAGUCUGGUGGCUUAAGGGCACAUGCUUACACAACAACCUCUAUAAAUUUGGACGUUAAAACCAUUAUUCAGUCGUUGGUCUGGAGGCAAACUUUUAACGACGUAUUUCACCAAAUGCUAUGCAAGUCCAUGGUGGGAUGGGAUCAAAUGAACGCUAAUUUGAGUUUCUUUUAAACAAGUUUGAAGUUUGGAAUUCGUGACAUCUAAGGGAAUUUAGUCAUGUUUAAAGAGAGUAGCUCAUUUUAACGCGAAGUGUGGAACGGCAAAAUAAAACUGCAGCUAACCCACGGAAGGUCGAGGAGAGGGUGGCGGCAAAGAUGACGGUGGUGGUGGUGGCUAUGGAGAUGGUCGUACCUUCUUUUUGACAGGAAAGUAGACGGAGCCAUUUACUCCACAUCGACCCAGUGGAAGGCCAUGGUUUCCACGCUGCAGCCUCAUGUAGCCUUUCUCUCCCCAGCUUGUCCCCGCCGAGUUUUUGAUGAUCCAAUAGUCUUGGCCGUUUUCGGAUCCAUAGCCGACGAUGAGCACUGCUAGAUACGGAGUUGCCUGGUCGUCUUUGCACGGGCCCUUGUAAAUCCCCUGCAUUUUUAGAACUUUGGGCUUGAGCGAGUUUUCCUUCAAAAACGAAUGAUUUUUCUCAUACCCCUUUGUAGCGAAGGAACUCCGGCGCGUUGCCAUCGAUGAGAGCUGUCACUGGCUGCUUGGCAACCUGCUUGACGAUCUCAGUGUCGUCGCUGGAGCCGUAGAAAUUGUCGUAAUUGUCAAUGCUUACGGAGUAGCGGUUCUGGAAGAGCACAACUUUAGUGAAAAACAAUGGAAACACAAGAGCACGCACGCACUUACGUGUUUUCGGCAGGUGCCAUUGAAUCCUGUGAAGCGGUAAUCUGAUGCGGUGGAGAGGCCAUUCCUUGUGUCGUCAAGAUAUGCAAAUGCGUUCUGGGGAAACCCGCUGUGGCAGCCAUCGCUGCCGUAGCUGCGGGAGCAAUCCAGCAGCUGCUGCGCCGACAGCUCCACCAACACUCCAGUCGCAAUCUUGUUGAUUCCCUCGAUGGCUUCUGCCGCCGCAAAAGCCCAGCUACCAUCUGUAUCGUGAUAUACCACUAAAGUGCGAAAAAAGGAUUAAAGAUUUAUACUCUGGCAUCCUUUGCGAUCUUUCACAGGUGUGACGGCCCCCAAACGUCUCCAGUCCAUGGACUUGGGGGGAUCAGAGC